CAACUCCAUACACUCCUCUCCCUAGCCUAUAAAUACAUCCACCCUUCACCAUAAUUUGGGGGGCCAUCAUCCAAAGACACCACAUCAUCUACACAACUCUCCACCCUUCACCAUAACUCACCUAUAUCCAUCCACCACUACAAGAGACCAUCCAUUCACCACUCACACCUUGGUGCCGCAUAUUUGCAAGGAAUGAGGAUUGCUUGGAGUUGUGCUAGUCAUUCAAUUUGGAUUGCUGGAGCAUUCUAGGUGUAUUCUACUUUGGUUUUCAAUGUUUAAUUUCAAUUGUUUCUGUUUAAUUGCAAGUAUGAGGAACUAAACCUCUUUUGGCUAGAGGAGAAUUCGAAACCAUGAAUAUAUUUGCAAUAUGAAUUGAUUUCUUCCAAUUGUGAUUUGAUAAGUUGUGAUUGCAAUUCAAUUAUCUAUUUUAUUCAUAACGGAUUUGUGUAUGUUUAUUAAGGAUGCAUACUUAGUUUUCAUGCAUUAAUUUGAUGCUAGGAUAUAAAUAAGUUUCACCUAAUUGUUACAAGUUUAUAUUCAUGAGUAGUGAAGGUUGCUUGUCACAAUCGCGUUAUUGAAUUCUUGGCAAACGUAUCAUGCAUUCAUAGUUACAAUUGCCUCGUCAACGCUUAUGAUUUUCAUGGAACGUAAUGAUCUUUAAUUGUAUCUCUAUUAUGCAUUCAUAUAGGGGCCUUUUAGAGAAUGAUUUGGGUUGUCGCAUGCAUUCAUCCAAUUCAAUGAGUAAAGGAAAAUCUGAGGGUUAAUUUGUGCAUCACGGUUAAUCUGGGGUGUUGAGUAUCAUAGUUUAUUGAGAAACAAUUGGAGAUUGAUUUGUAUGCAAGUGUGUCAUGUGUGGGGAAAGACCUUCUAGCUAGCCCAUCAUCCAUCCAAAACAACCAAUUUCGUGCAAAUCUGUUUAGUUCUAGUUUCUGUUUUGUUUUACUUUAUUUUCUUCCAAAAUCCAAUCCCCCUUUACUUUAGUGUGUCUAAUUAGUUAGAAUCUGUUUUAGUUUGUGUUUUUAAGUGUUUUGAGUCUAUAGAGUCUAGUUAAGUGUUUUUAAGUUUCUUUUUGUAAGUCAGUUUAGUUUAGAUUAGCAAUCCAUCCUAAUCCCCGGUCCAGAAUGAUCCCUACUUAUACAUAUACUACAAUUGUCAAAAGAGGGUUUAAUUUGAGUGCUUAACUUUCAUUGCAUCAAAUUUUGGCGCCAUUGUCGGGGAUUAGCAACUUUGCUAAUCCCCCGUUGUUUCUUUUUCAUGUCUUUUGUUUUAGUUACUGACUUUGUUUUUGUUUGUGUCUUUUAGUUUUACUUGUGAUAUUUGAUUUAUUUUUGUUUCCUUGAUUUUAGGGACUAGAGAAGUAAGACAUAGAUUUUGCUACCAUUCAAGCUCAAUUGGCAAAACUUACUUCUCAAUUGUCACAAUAUGCCGAAAGAAUUCCAACAAGAUGGAUAUUGGCAGCAAGAAGAGGAGUUCUAUCACUGGCCAUAUGAACCAUCACAGCCACCACAAAAAUCUACCCAAUUCAAUUCAGGUACAUCUUUAGAUAAUGAUAUGUUUAAUAAGUUACUCACUUUUUUGAACCAGGAUGUAGAAAACCGAAACAAAGAGGUGCAAAUUCAAGCCAAGAAGACGGGCGAAUUGGAAAAGCAAUUUGGGUAGAUUAUGGAGUUCACGGUACAAAUUCAAGAGCAAAGUGAAUUCUCCGACUCAACUAUUGAAAAUUUGAAGGAAGAUUUUGAAAUCCAUGAUGCUAUCACUUUGGGAAGUGCUAUGGAGAUUGGAGGUGAACCCAAGACGUCCAAACCAAGCCAAAACAUGGAUGAAUAGCUGAUGCUCGAAGAAGAAGAGAGUAACAAGGCCACGGCAAGGAAAGAACCACCCUUGCCGCAGCCCCAUAUACCCUCUAUGCCGUCCACUACAACCAAAGUAAGCCUAAAUUCAAUUCGUCCUGACCCCGUUUCACCAAAUGUACUUAUUCCUUGCAGGAUCAUGCAAUCCAAGGAAGAAGAAGGUGAGAAAGGUAUCUUCGGAACCUUUCUAAAGAAUCAAGAGCAAGAAGUGGAUGGGGAAUGUCUACAAUUCAUCAAAGAAGAUACCCUUGAGACGAAAACUCCCAAAGAAGUUGGAUUUUAUGACACGGGAAAAGUCAUAACUCUCAAAACACCAAAUAUGGCCAAGUCCCAUAUCCCUGCAACCUUCAAAGAUGUGGUGUUCGUAAUUGAGUUUGUGUUGGAGCAAGCAAGUAAGCCAUCUUCUCCAAUUUCGAUUUUAUUAUAUACUAACUUGCUAAUUUUGAUGAUUCAUGCACCUACGCUAGAAUUUAAACCAUUGCCGGAUCACGUCAAGUAUCACCUUCCAUUCAAGGAUCAAUUCCAUGCUAUGGGCCCUAUCCAAGUUUAGAAGAAAGUUUCGUCCGGCUGGAAGACGUUAAAGCAAGCGCUUCUUGGGAGGCAACCCAUGAUUUCAAAUAAGGAAGAUUUUUGAAUUGCUCCACAAUCAGUUUAGCGUUUCUAAAAACCUUCCCUUUUAUGUUAUUUUUCCAUGAUUGUCAUUUUUAUUUGUUGCUUGUUUAAUUGUUUUUGGUGUGGGUUUUGAAACACUGAUAGUUAUGCAAGGUAUUUUUACAUUCAUAAAAAAAAAAGGAACAUUAAGCAGAUAAAUACAAGAGGGAGCCUUCACAAAGGCUGUUUAGGAGAGAUCUCAGUAGUCGGCAGAGCCUCAGCAAUCGGUGGAGCCCCAGAAGGAGGAGGCAUCGGAGGUUGAUCAUUUGGAGCUUCAUUACGCGGUACAGCCCCAGAAGACGAAGGCAAAUGUUGUUGGAACAAACCCACAAACCUCUGAUGAUCAAGUAAAAUCUGACCAUCAGAUUCCUGCAUCUGGUUAAUCUUCCUCUUCAUGUUUAUAGCAUAGUUAUAUGCGAGCCUAUGCAACUGUUUAUUCUCAUGCUUAAGCCCUCUAAUCUCCUACUUGAGACUCAUCACUUCAACCGCCAAUGAUUCAACUUGACGGGUUCGGGCAAAUAGGCGUUGGGCCAUAUUGGACACGGAACCUACGCACUGCACACUGAGAGCCAGAGAAUCCUUAAUAGCCAACUCAUCAGACCGUUUUCCAAGUAGUCUAUUAUCUUUGGGAGUGACAAGGUUCCUGGCCACCACCGCAGCUGUCAUAUCAUUUCUCAUCACCGAAUCCCCAACGGUAAAAUAACCAGUAGGGGAUAUGAAGGAUGGGCGCCAUAUGUUGUCUGGAGAAGGCGGGGCUACCUCUUCACCAAGGUUCAAGUCAAAACAACGGUCGGAGGGGCCAGACAUUUUCAGAGGUGUUAAAGAAAGAAGAGGUCGGACAAGUCAAGAUCGUAAAAGUGCAAGAAUGGAGUUUUUACAGGCAGAAAUUCAAGUGUGCUUUGAACGUCCUACGUACUUCUAUAAAAAUCAACACGCGAUGGGAUUUCAGAGAUCGAAGAGGUGAGCUCAGAAAUCGAAGAGGCCAACUCAAAAAUCAAAGAGGUGCUAGCUUUCUCAAAAGCUGGGCUUGCUUAGAAAGCACGGCCAAUCUUCUUUUCCAGAUUUGUCCGCACUUGUCACAUGCAACCUCUGCACUCGACGGGAUUUAAAAGAUCGAAGAGGCAAGCUCAGAAAUCGGAGAGGCAUCUGCUUUUCCAGACGUGUCAGCAUCUGUCACAUGCAAAGUCAGCUUUGCGGAAAUCACGGGCAAUUUGUCGAAACGCCGAUUCUAGAUAUCGGAGAAGCAUCUGCUUUUCCAGACAUGUCAGCGCCUGUCACAUGCAGACUUAGCUUUGUGAAAAUCACAGGCAGUUUAUCGAAACACCGAUUCCAGAUAUCGAAGAGGCACUUGCUUUUCCAGACGUGUCAGCAUCUGUCACAUGCAAAGUCAGCUUUGCGAAAAUCACGGGCAGUUUGUCAAAGUGCCGAUUCCAAAUAUCGGAGAAGCAUCUGCUUUUCCAGACGUGUCAGCGCCUGUCAUAUGCAGACUCAGCCUUGCGAAAAUUACGGACAAUCUGUCGAAGAUCUCUUGUGAAGUAUAAAGCACGUGAAGUUCACUAUUAAAUCAUCCAACGGUUGCUGACAAGAGUGAAAGAAUAGUACCGGUUAUUAAUUCCUAUAAAUGGCACCCUUCACCCUCCAUUUCAAGGCAGACAUACAUAACCCUUCUUCUUCUCCGAAAAUGCCUUUCCAACAAACCCUCUCGAGUCACUCAAUGUUCCUUAUUCCUAGGGGUACCUCUGCAAACAACUCAUCUAAAGCAAAAGUAUUUCAUAUCAUGAAGGUUGAAAGCAAGAGUAUCUCAUAUCAUGUUUUCUCCAUGUCCUUCUCUUUGUCAUUAUUUUGGGACAAGGAGAAAGAGAGCAAUCAGCCAGCACUUGGUAUCAAUCUUUCGAUCUGGAACCGACUGCCUGGAACCCCUUCCUGAUUACUUACCUAGCCUUGGUCUCGAGUACUCAUCUUCAUCAUUUUAUGCUUCCUCUUCGUUUACCACAUCUUCCUGGGGAACAGAUAAGGGAAGUGAAAAUGAUACCUCGAAGCAUGUGGAGACAAUUUGCCAAUUCAUCCUUAGCUAGGGACAAGGAUAAAGAAAGCAAGAGGUGGGCACUUGGAAAGAUUGAAGAAAGAAACAGACCAACACCUAUACCUCGUGUCUGCCCGCCGUGCAGAAGAAACAAACAGAGAAGAAUGCAGAUUGCACAAUCAAAUCAACCCAGCAGAAUGUGUCUAAUUUGAAACCAAGGAACUCUCAUAUUCCUUGCUCAGAAUUCCAAACCAGUUCGAGAUCAAAGUUGUGGAAAGAUAACAAGAUCAUCUAUCUCCAAAACCAGAUUUGCGUUCUUAAACUAUACUAUGUCUAAUUUUUACUUUGCCAUACUUGUCAUGUUUAUUCGUUGUUUGUUUGUGUGAGUUUAUGCUUGAAACAUUGAGGACAAUGUUUGAUUUAAGUGUGGGGGGGUAACCAUUGUUUUGCAUGAAAUUCUUUGCAUGAAAGUCGUAGGAGUUUAUCACCCAUUACUUCUUGUGUUGUUCCUUGUUGUUUUAAAUGUUUUUAAGCUGUUUUGGAGUGUUUCAGUGUGUUUUGACAUAAAAAUUUGAAAAAUUGUUUUGAAAAACCCAAAAAGAGUUGUUUUUGUGUGUUUAUUUGUGUCUUAGGGUACCUUCCAACACAAUGAUGAGGAUUUGGUUUUUAAUUGCAUGACUGUUAAAGAGAGUUAUAAACAUGGAUGAAAAUUUGAUUUACUCUUUGAUGUAUGCUUGGUUGUGGUUAUAAUUUAUGAAUUCACAUGCAAUCAUAAAGGAAAAAUCAGUUUUUGUAACAUGCUUGAAGAAGAGGAACUCAAAUGUAACGCUACAUCCUUGUGAGACUUGAGCCUAAACGUUUAUUUGGAGAGUUAAUAAUUUGUGCAUCAUUGUUUUCUAAAGUCGUUGCAUGAUCUCAUUAUUCUUUGCUUGGUUGCUACGUAGAAGGCGUUUCAUUAGUUAGUUCCAAAUGUUAGAACUCAUGCCUAUUUCAUUCAAAGCAUGUUAUUGAUUUGCAUAAUACAUAUUCAAGAUGAAGUUCUGUAGUGACCACCACAGCCAAAUUGACGUGCCCUAUUUCAUUAUGUGUUUAAGUUUAACCCCAUUGAGCCUUGUGUAACUUAUGUUCUUUGUUAACCCAUACUAUCCUCACCUAGCCUAGAUUAGGACCAUUCAUACCCUUGUUCUUGAAGCAUAGUAAAACAUAAUUUAGAAGGAAUUCCUUUAGUUGAACUUUUGUAGAAAAACAAGUGUGGGGGAAGUGAUUCUUGUGUGUGUGUGUGUGUGUGUGUGUGUGAAAGUCCUUAAUAAGGCACGAGUAGAAAAGAAAAAGAAAAAAAAAAAAAAGAGAAACAUUCGUGGAAAAUAGAAUGAAAAGAAGAAAAGUUGUGCAAAAGAGCUCUAAAGUGUUGUUUGUUGAAGAAAGGGUCCAAAACAUGGAAUUCGGCCCUAAGUGUUGCUUGAAUCUUCCCAUUGUGUUUAAAAGUUAAUUUCUACAUUAUUAAGUGAAUUUCAAGCGUCUAUUUCAUUACUUUGCUUGCUAUUACUUUCAGAACGUUUGUUAUCCCUAUCCUUUCUUUGUUAGCCAUUACCCUUAAACCCUGUUACAACCUUUAACUUCAUCUUGAGUGUCAUGCGUUUCAAUAUGUGGAGUUUGGAAUUGGUAUGAGCAUAUGGUGUCACUGGUUCUUGCAUCUAAGUAGUAGCAUUCCAUUCAUGAGAUCAUAUUUAAACAUGCUUAAUAACUCCAGAAAAUCGCUUUCUUUGUUAUACAUAUAUGUGAGUGUUCGUUUUCAUGUUUACAUCAAUCUUCUCACAUAUAACUAGUGUAGGGUGUGUAGUCAGAAAAUGUGUGAAAAUAGAGAGUAUCUUGUAAGGAAUUGAGCAAAUUCUCUAAGGCAUGUUACUACAUUCAAAACAUCGUUUUAAUUGGUUAAAUGUGAACUAGUAAGUGGUGACUGUGAUUAAGUAUGUGCUCAAGUGUGAAGAUCACUAAAUCUGUGGGAAUAAUGAUCUUCGGCAUGUCAUGUUUCAUUGAAAAUCCAUGAGGCAAAUGUUGGAAGGUUAGGUUGUGUUUUGUUUGUUUUGUUUGUUUUGUUUCGUUUUGUUUCUUUUGUUUUGCUCGAGGACUAGUAAAAGCUAAGUGUGUGGGAAUUUGAUAGGAGCAUAUUUAUGCGACUUAGUUAGCUUGUUCUUGUGCAUUUGUGUUGUUAUUUCUUAGUUAAUUAUGUAUUUUAAGCUAUUUUCGUGUGUUUGUAGGUCAUAAUAACAAAGUUGGCAAGAAAGUGCAUUUUGGAGCAUUUUAGAGCAUUUUUGAGCCAAGAUUGGAUAGUGCAAGCAUGGAGACAUGAGGAUGGACGUUUUUGAAGAUUUGAAGGCUAGAAAUCAACAUGUGUGUGUGCAAGUGUGUUGACCUACAACUCCAAACAUCCAUCCACUACACCCAUUACAUCCACUCAUUACCAAACACUCAUCCACUACACCCAUUACAUCCACUCAUUACCAAACACUCAUCCACUGCACCCAUUACAUCCACUCAUUACCACAACACUCACCCACUACACCUAUUACAUACACUCAUUACCACAACACUCACCCACUACACCCAUUACAUCCACUCAUUACAACUCCAUACACUCCUCUCCCUAGCCUAUAAAUACAUCCACCCUUCAUCAUAAUUUGGGGGGGCCAUCAUCCAAAGACACCACAUCAUAUACACAACUCUCCACCCUUCACCAUAACUCACCUAUAUCCAUCCACCACUACAAGAGACCAUCCAUUCACCACUCACAACUUGGUGCCGCAUAUUUGCAAGGAAUGAGGAUUGCUUGGAGUUGUGCUAGUCAUUCAAUUUGGAUUGCUGGAGCAUUCUAGGUGUAUUCUACUUUGGUUUUCAAUGUUUAAUUUCAAUUGUUUCUAUUUAAUUGCAAGUAUGAGGAACUAAACCUCUUUUGGCUAGAGGAGAAUUCGAAACCAUGAAUAUAUUUGCAAUAUGAAUUGAUUUCUUCCAAUUGUGAUUUGAUAAGUUGUGAUUGCAAUUCAAUUAUCUAUUUUAUUCAUAACAGAUUUGUGUAUGUUUAUUAAGGAUGCAUACUUAGUUUUCAUGCAUUAAUUUGAUGCUAGGAUAUAAAUAAGUUUCACCUAAUCGUUACAAGUUUAUAUUCAUGAGUAGUGAAGGUUGCUUGUCACAAUCGCGUUAAUUGAAUUCUUGGUGAACGUAUCAUGCAUUCAUAGUUACAAUUGCCUCGUCAACGCUUAUGAUUUUCAUG
rnacentral:lncRNA from 1 species